GUGAAUCAUCGAAUUUUUGAACGCAAAUUGCACUCUCUGGUAUUCCGUAGAGUAUGCCUGUUUGAGGGUCAGUUUAACUUAAAAUCGGUGUGGGUGCUUCCUUUCGUGGUGACGCACCGGGUGUGGGUCGUCUUGACUUCGGUUGGGUGCCCUAAAGUUUUGCAUGAUUGCUUUCGAAAGGAUUUAAAUGAGUUUACGUACGUUGGCGCUAUCGA
rnacentral:misc_RNA from 1 species